rnacentral:rRNA from 1 species
UACGGGGGGGGCAAGCGUUGUUCGGAAUUACUGGGCGUAAAGGGCGCGUAGGUGGCGCGACAAGUCCGUGGUGAAAGCUCGAUGCUCAACAUCGAGUCGGCCACGGAUACUGUUGGGCUGGAGCACUGGUAGAGGCAGAUGGAAUUCCAGGUGUAGCGGUGAAAUGCGUAGAUAUCUGGAGGAACACCGGUGGCGAAGGCGGCAUCCUGGACCAACACUGACACUGAUGAGCGAAAGCCAGGGGAGCAAACGGG